rnacentral:rRNA from 1 species
AGUGAACGCUGGCGGUAGGCCUAACACAUGCAAGUCGAACGGCAGCACAGUAAGAGCUUGCUCUUACGGGUGGCGAGUGGCGGACGGGUGAGGAAUACAUCGGAAUCUACUUUUUCGUGGGGGAUAACGUAGGGAAACUUACGCUAAUACCGCAUACGACCUACGGGUGAAAGCAGGGGAUCUUCGGACCUUGCGCGAUUGAAUGAGCCGAUGUCAGAUUAGCUAGUUGGCGGGGUAAAGGCCCACCAAGGCGACGAUCCGUAGCUGGUCUGAGAGGAUGAUCAGCCACACUGGAACUGAGACACGGUCCAGACUCCUACGGGAGGCAGCAGUGGGGAAUAUUGGACAAUGGGCGCAAGCCUGAUCCAGCCAUACCGCGUGGGUGAAGAAGGCCUUCGGGUUGUAAAGCCCUUUUGUUGGGAAAGAAAAGCAGCAGGUUAAUACCCCGCUGCUCUGACGGUACCCAAAGAAUAAGCACCGGCUAACUUCGUG